rnacentral:rRNA from 1 species
UACGUAGGGUGCAAGCGUUAAUCGGAAUUGCUGGGCGUAAAGCGUGCGCAGGCGGUUUUGUAAGUUUGUCGUGAAAUCCCCGGGCUCAACCUGGGAAUUGCGAUGGAGACUGCAAGGCUAGAAUCUGGCAGAGGGGGGUAGAAUUCCACGUGUAGCAGUGAAAUGCGUAGAGAUGUGGAGGAACACCGAUGGCGAAGGCAGCCCCCUGGGUCAAGAUUGACGCUCAUGCACGAA